rnacentral:lncRNA from 1 species
GACCAUAAGAUCUACAUUUUAUACAAACAACCCACAUUUGAAUAAUAUAUAUAUAUAAGAUUGGAUCGGAUUCGGAUCGAAUAAUGGAUCGAGACGGCUACUAUCCGAAUCCGAUCCGAAAUAUAAAUUUAUCGAAUUUAGAUUGGAUCAGAUCAAAAUUUGAUCAAUACGUUGCCCAAUCCGACCCAUUAGAAUCGGAUCGGAUCGGAUCGAGAUCCAUUCGGAUCGGAUCGAGAUCUUUUUGGAUCGAAUGUUAUUGCUAAGUCUAGUCGGCACCGUCAAGUCGCUUGCUUUAUCCUCCAGGUUGGGGUUGCAUCUUUUACACGAAUCCACCGUUAGAUCACCUACCGCAUGUAUCGCAAAGCAAUCAAUGGAUGAUCCAAUGGUGGAUUCGGUCAAAGAAAGGUGAAACCUUCUCUGGCGCAAAAGAUGCACCCCCGCCCUUUGCCUCCGGCUGUUGUUCCUGUCAGCAGCCUCAGAAAGGUUGAAAUGGGUGAUGAAUUAUAAACUAUAAUCUCCAAAAGUGGACCGUUUUCGGAUAUAAUUAUAAUCUUAUAUAUGUCGCAUGACUUCAAAGUUGACGGUCUUAUGGGUUCAAAACACGUCACCGCAAGGAUGAAGUUAUCCAGAAGUAGCUAUGACAAUGAUGCUUAAAUUAUCAUCAAAAAAAAGAAAAAGAAAAAAAAGACAAUGAUGCUUCAAUAUCGUAUACCACUUUUAAUCUAAUAGGAGUCAUCAGAAAAGACUCUGUGAGGUGGAACUAGGAAAUCCGGACCAAUCUGCCAAAGUGGACAAUAUAUCUAACAAGUUCCUGAUUCUUGAUUCUUAUUAAUUAUCUUCAUCAUGACAAUUUUUCUGAAGGGGAGAUGAACCCAAGUUAGAGGUUGACAGUCUACCAUAUUCUAUGCUCGGCCACCUUUUAGAAAAGUCCAGUCCCUCAAGACCAAUAGAGAUGGCGGAAAGGUGCUUCCAACUAGAAACGUGACUUUAAUAAAUUGGGUGGCUAAUUGAGCUCAUAGCUCCUUAGCUUCCUUUCCAUCUAAGAAAAAUUAGAAACGAGACGGUUUUAGGGAGAACUUGGGAUGCUUGUAGGAUGCUGUGCUGAUUGACAAGUUACCAGGGGGAAAUAAAGCUAUGCAGGCUGCUAGUCAUAGCAUACAAAAGGCUUUCCCUAGUUUUUGUGCCUUUUAAUCAGAACCCCUAUAGUUUUCUUCCAGUCACAAUGGUGGUUCUCAUGCGUUUCCCAUGGGAAACAUGCAUU